CAGUAGCCGCGGGAACACGGAGGGAGCUAGCGUUGUUCGGAAUUACUGGGCGUAAAGCGCGCGUAGGCGGUUACUCAAGUCAGAGGUGAAAGCCCGGGGCUCAACCCCGGAACUGCCUUUGAAACUAGGUGACUAGAAUCUUGGAGAGGUCAGUGGAAUUCCGAGUGUAGAGGUGAAAUUCGUAGAUAUUCGGAAGAACACCAGUGGCGAAGGCGACUGACUGGACAAGUAUUGACGCUGAGGUGCGAAAGCGUGGGGAGCAAACAGGAUUAGAUACCCCAGUAGUCUCUGUCUCUUAUAA
rnacentral:rRNA from 1 species